rnacentral:rRNA from 1 species
CCUACGGGAGGCAGCAGUGAGGAAUAUUGGUCAAUGGGCGUAAGCCUGAACCAGCCAAGUCGCGUGAGGGCUGAAGGUUCUAUGGAUCGUAAACCUCUUUUAUAAGGGCAUAAAGUGUGGGACGUGUCCUAUUUUGUAUGUACCUUAUGAAUAAGGAUCGGCUAACUCCGUGCCAGCCGCCGCGGUAAUACGGAGGAUCCGAGCGUUAUCCGGAUUUAUUGGGUUUAAAGGGUGCGUAGGCGGCCUUUUAAGUCAGCGGUGAAAGUCUGUGGCUCAACCAUAGAAUUGCCGUUGAAACUGGGGGGCUUGAGGAUGUUUGAGGCAGGCGGAAUGCGGGGUGGAGCGGUGAAAUGCGGAGAUAUCACGCAGAACCCCGAUUGCGAAGGCAGCCUGCCAAGCCAUGACUGACGCUGAUGCACGAAAGCGUGGGGAUCAAACAGGAUUAGAUACCCUAGUAGUC